CUUUUCCCUAUGUGCAUAUCAAUCGGUAAGUGUUACUCUUGCUUUCUUACUACAUUUUGUACUUUCCUUUUCUUUCAAGAAAAAGCUUUUCAUCUUCAAAAACAUUGCAAAAUAGGUUUUUCUAACACCUGGAAUACACUUUAAAAAUAUAUAUAUAAGCUCACCUCUAACACACAGAGCUAAAAGUGCUUUAGUACACUAAACUUUAGCAGCGAUCAUGUCCUCAGCAGGUACCUCAUUUUUCUUACUCUUGUUCAUAUAAUGCUUAUAUUUUACUGUUUUGUCCUGUUUUUAAAUACUCCUUGUUAUUUCUUUUUUAGACUCUGAAAUAAGCCUGCUCGACUCUUCUCUUUUGGAUUCUCUCGAUCAAAUUGACAUAUCGGAUCUGGAUAAUUAUGGUUUUCCGAGAUCACCAACUCCUUCACCACCGGUUUUAGAGCGAGUUACAGGCAAGAAUAUCCGUCUCUCGAUCCGCGAGAGGCAGGACCUGCUUUCUGAGCGGGCUCGCCCCGCUUCUUAUCUCCCGCGUCCCUCGGGAAAAAACCUCCAUCUAACCGCCGGGAAGAGGCAACAACUGUUCGCCUCACACGCUCCCAGUGCCCCUGCCGGAGCUUCAGCUCCCCCGCGCCCCUCAGGGAAAAACCUCCAUCUAACCGUCCGGGAGAGGCAACAACUGUUCGCCGCACACGCUCCCAGUGCCCCCGCCGGAGCUUCUCCUCCUGCAUCGGGACCAAGACAUCCACAGCCCCUGCCUCUGAGAUCCAAUCGAGGGCAUCUCACAAGGAGGCGUAGGAGGAUCGUUAGGCCACUCAGGAUAAGGAGCACAAGGCAAACACGCAGACAGCGAAACCAGCUCGCUUCCAUCGCUCUUCGAGCUGUAUCUCUGUUCGCUGAAUUAG